AUAGGGCAGUCUGGCGGUUUUGAGAAAUAUAAGGCAACCACAAAUUGAUCUGUUCAAAGGCAAGAUUUUCCAAUUCUAUGACUUUUUUCUCACCUACACCUGCUUCUACUUUAUCAAACUUUCACCAAAUGAGUUGCUUCUAAGACUCUGUAAAAUGUGAGAACGCAACAAGAGAAUUUACUUUAGAACCUCAAAAAC
rfam:Oryctolagus cuniculus chromosome 2, whole genome shotgun sequence.